UUAUAAGAGACAGCAGUCGCCGCGGGAAUACGAAGGGUGCAAGCGUUACUCGGAAUUACUGGGCGUAAAGCGUGCGUAGGUGGUGGUUUAAGUCCGUUGUGAAAGCCCUGGGCUCAACCUGGGAAUUGCAGUGGAUACUGGGUUACUAGAGUGUGGUAGAGGAUAGUGGAAUUUCCGGUGUAGCAGUGAAAUGCGUAGAGAUCGGAAGGAACAUCUGUGGCGAAGGCGACUAUCUGGGCCAACACUGACACUGAGGCACGAAAGCGUGGGGAGCAAACAGGAUUAGAUACCCGCGUAGUCCCUGUCUCUUAUAC
rnacentral:rRNA from 1 species